AUUUCUUAUUUUGAAGUGAUGUGAUAUUUUCAAUAUUUAAAAUUAGCAAUACCAUGUAAUCUGCCUCUAUCAGCUUCAAAGGUUGAGGAAAAAAAAAAGAAUGGAGGAAACUCAGAGAAGGGAAAGUGACAGUGAAGAAAUAGAGGACAUGGCUAGAGUACGGUGUACAUUUUAGGACAUCCUCAGACCUCAGUCAUCAAAUGAAAAGGCGUCAUGCCUCAGACUAAAAGGCUUCAGUCAUCGGACAAAACGGCAUCGCGUCUCUGACUGAAAAGCUUCAGGUCUCAGGAAAAACGACGUCAGGUGUCAUACAAUUAACGUUAACAUCAGACGAAACAGACUCAGAUAAAAAGUCAUCAGACAAAACGGACUCGGACAAAGUGUCAUCAGACAAAACGGACUCAGACAAAAAGUCAUCAAACGAAAAGGACUCAGAUGGAGAAUCGCGUUGCCCCGCCCCAUGUGACGUCACACGCACGCCGUUCACAGGAAGUAGUAAUGGUUGAUUGAUGGCAAAAGGAGUGAAACACAUCUAAGAAGAUGAAUAAAAUCAAGUGAGCCACAGAGAUGGCAUCGUCCAAGAGCACAGGCUUGUAUUUUUCUUUUUUCUGCAUUGGGAGUUCAUCCAGAGGCAGCGAGUGAACUUUGUGUCCUGAAACCAGAAUCAGUUGGGAAGAAUGGAACCAAGUCUACCCAAUUAAAAGGCUUACACAGGUCCCCUUCCAGAUGCUGAUGUCUUGGCUUCUGGUGCAAAACUACGUCAGAUUAAUCCCAAGCCUUUGCUGCCGCAAAUACUUGAGGGCAUGUCAAAAGUAGAGUUGUACCUCUUGGUAGUCCACUUUCAUUCCAGUGUCCCCGUAUAGCUGCAGGUGUUCCUGAUCUUAAUUUCCCCCCACUACCUGUGCUUGGUUUUCAGUUUGGCUGUAAUUUUAAAUUUGGCCAGACGGACGAGUGCAUGAUCCAUCUGAAACAUUCGUUUGGACUAGUGGAGGUAAAAAGCACCUCUGCUGAAAACAUUGCUCAGGUUCCAUUUAUGAAAAUUCAAAGAGGACUAGCCAAACUUAAAGAGACCCAUAAGUACUACUGGCAGGUACAAGGUCAGACUGCAGAGACUGGUCUACACUGGUGUGACUUUGUGACUGACACACAAUCAGAUUUCAUAAUACAGAUGAUCUGGCGAGAUGAUGCCUUCAUAACAUCAAUGAAAGUACUGUUAUAACGUUUAUCUGGAUGUGUAUCUUUCAGUGGUAUGAAUGGACAGAUUCUGUUCAUAUUAUAGUAUGAACCUAAGAUUUAUUUUUACAUUCAUAGUAAAUAUAUACUUUAUGUAGUUGAGUAGUAUGUAGCAUAUUUUGUAGUAGAUCUUUGAUAACAUAUUAGAUACAUCACAAAUUAUAACAAUAAAUAUAUUGUACUUGCUAUUAGAUAAAUGUACAUACCAAGGUGAAUACUUUUUGUAUGAAAUCUUCUGUAAUGUAU